GACUAAGUAAUUAAAAUAUAAUAGUGGUCUUGUAAGCCGAAAUUAGAGUUCCUCUCUUAGUCU
rnacentral:tRNA from 1 species